GCACUGAACUUACCCUGUCCUUGCAAUUUAGUGCUGGGAAGGGUUACUUGGUGCUAGAGAAAUGUAGAGGAAAUCCAGACGGAAUAUCAAUUUAUCUAAUGUUCUGUCUCUACACCUCUGCAACAUUG
rnacentral:snoRNA from 1 species